rnacentral:misc_RNA from 1 species
CCAGUCGGCCUAUGGAACCACUGUUGUGUGCUCCGUGCAUUACGUCGAAGGCAAAUACGCCCUCUAAUCGGUGUGGGCUUGCACGCAUCGGUGGGGCUUGAUAGAAAUUCAAGCCUCGACGCUGUACCCUAACGAGAAAAGCGAUGAUGNCCCGCCGGGGAUGACGAAUCGCGAAAGCGAUGAUGACUCGGUGGGUGCCCCAAAUCGUGUUAGGCGAGAGCGUCGUCAAGAGUUGGUUGCGUACGUAGGUCCCUCCAACCCGGGAGUAGAUUAUCUCUUGAUAAUCUUGAGCCCGCGAUGACGGUUUUCAGUGAGCUGCUCCUGGAUCGUUGUCAACCGGGCUUGCUUGGUUCACAAGCUCGUGAUGGGUACCGUCGCAUGUGGGAAGGAUUGUUGCCUGAGCUUGCUUAUAUAUAUGUGCGUGAUCGGACUUGUUUCUCAUGCCUCGUUAACGAUUUUGUUAGUGAGCGUUUAUUGAGCAUAGCUACGGGGUUGUUUGGUCUCUGUUGCNCGAGNAACAUGAGAAACCAGUUCCUUCCACGUUGAUGUAUAUAAGCAAGAGAGGAUGCAAUGGUUCUCANNNNNNNNNUNNUUCGUAAAGGGUGCAUGAGUGGUGUUUGGUUUGUUACGUGUGGUUGGCUGCGGCGUUUGCAACAACUUCCAUGCUUUCAGACCUCUUCAGUUGUGCGGCAAGGCUUGUAUCGCCUUGAGCGUAAUGCGGGUUUUCUGUGCUGGCUACCUAAUCAACGGUAUCGGUUGGAUUGAUCAAAGUUUGAUUUCGUCUUCCGUCGCAUUCGCGGCGUGAGGCGAACCUCGAUGCGGUCUCUUUGAUCCACCUCGUUGAAGCACGUGCUUCGACGUUGUGGCACAUUGAGCAUUGCUUGGUCUCUUGUAUACGGAACAUAUAGUGGGCAUGGAUCUAACGAUCCUCGUUUGNCCUCAUAUUAGCGUAACGCUUCUCUAACACGACUUGCGCC